GCGGGGGUUGCCAAGCCAGGUUAAAGGCGCAGAAUUCACGAUCCCGUCCCGAAGGGGUACGUGGGUUCAAAUCCCACCCCCCGCACCA
rnacentral:tRNA from 1 species